GUAUUCACUCAAGUAGCACAUGUACUAAAAAACUGAAACGAUACAGACAAGAUUAGUAUGGUAUGGCUCCUGCAUAAAGAUGACCUGCAAAUUCAUAAAGCAUUCGUUUCU
ensembl:snRNA U6 U6 spliceosomal RNA